GCUACAAUAAUCACAUUCGAACAUUUUGUUGGAAUUCGGAGAAUGUCCUUUCUCCCGGAAGAACUGUGGCGCCGAAUCCUAGAAAUCGGAAUCCAGAACAGCGGUUUCAGCUACAAGGAUCUCUGCUGCGUCUCCAUCUCAUGCCGCCGCCUGCGCCGCCUCUCCUCCGAGGAUCUUCUUUGGAACCGCCUUCUCUCCGCCGACUAUCCCCAACCCCAUCUUUCUUCUUCUUCUUCUUCCAGUUCUUCUAAAUCCCUAUAUAAAUUAAGGUUUGAGAGGGACAAGGAGAGGAGAAUAGCUGCUCAUAGGAGGGCUGUGUUGAGAAAGGAGAGCCAGAUUGCGGAACAUUCUAGAAGACUCAGAGAAAUUCAGACACGUGUUGCUCAAGAAACCGCCACAGCCACACAAACCGCUCAAGACUUGUCCAAUUUGCGUAGGGCCAGACAAGCCUUUGUAGCUUUGAAUGUGUGGCAACCGGAGGUUGUCCGGAGUAGGCAAAAACAAAUGGUUGAGCAGAGUGCUGUCCCUGCUGAAUGUCGGAUACACGGUCUUGAGAUGGAACUAAAGCUUUGUAAGCAACAGAUUGCAGGGUUGGAGUUGUUCUAUAAAGAUGAAAAGCGCAGGCUUGAUACUGCAAAAGAAGAGUUGGCGUCUAUGAAGUAUCACCCUAUGGAGGAGCAUAAGACCAUAAGCCAAGUGGAUAGAAAGCAUGUCAAGCGGAAGAAGCUGAAAAUAUGCAAUAGCUUACAAAAAAAUGAAACAAAACAGGAUAGAUGAAUAAUCCUUUUGCAAUUUUCUCCAGAGGAGGGACCAAACGUUAUGGUUUAUAUUUGUUGAUACAGAUCAGCAAAGUGGAAUGUUUUAUAUCUAUAAUAUAAAUCUGAUGCUGGUGUAACACAAUUUACACUUUCUACAUUUUCCAUAUUGACGCAUAUCUACAGAAUUUGCUUUUGGUAAAAACACAGGCAUUGUUUGAUCCAUCUAACUGAUCACAAAUGGAAAACAUUGCAUUGGUUGAUGUGUUGAUGAAAUUUGCUGAUCCUUCUUCCAUUGAAACUGGGAAAUUGUUCUGUCCAUGAAGACUGACUGCGCAAAUCCUCCUAUUACUGUACGUAGAAUGUAUUAGCAAUACGUAGUGAGAGCCUGAGGAACUUGAUGAAAUGCAGAUUGUAGCCUCUGGGCUUUUGGAAACCUUUAAGUUUGAGGAAAGCUAGAUCAAAGGAUGGAGUGUAUCAUAUGCAGAUUAAGAAGUACUAUUAGUGAAGUAUUUAAAUUAAAAAAAAAAAAAACAAUUUUAAGGGCUUCACAUGUUGUACCAUUAUUCUUUAGUUAGUUGCAUUACCCCAUUACAGCCAUUUGUUAAUGUUUUAGUUAUUUUCUACUGGUUUGAGUUAUAGCAUUUCUGUUCAGUUGCUGCAUGCUCCCUUGAAGCCAAAAUUCAUUGAAAAAAACCGUUAUUGUUAUGGGUAGGCUUAAAAACCAAUGGUAUACAUAUUUUUCUGUGUUGUUA